rnacentral:rRNA from 1 species
UACGGGGGGGGCAAGCGUUGUUCGGAAUUACUGGGCGUAAAGGGCUCGUAGGCGGCCAACUAAGUCGGAUGUGAAAUCCCCAGGCUUAACUUGGGAGGGUCACGCGAUACUGAUCGACUGGAAGGCAGGAGAGGGUAGUGGAAUUCCCGGUGUAGUGGUGAAAUGCGUAGAUAUCUGGAGGAACACCGGUGGCGAAGGCGGCAUCCUGGACCAACACUGACACUGAGGAGCGAAAGCCAGGGGAGCAAACGGG